rnacentral:rRNA from 1 species
UACGGAGGGGACUAGCGUUGUUCGGAAUUACUGGGCGUAAAGCGCACGUAGGCGGAUUUGUAAGUCAGGGGUGAAAUCCCGGGGCUCAACCUCGGAACUGCCUUUGAUACUGCAAAUCUCGAGUCCGGAAGAGGUGAGUGGAAUUCCUAGUGUAGAGGUGAAAUGCGUAGAUAUUGGGAAGAACACCGGAGGCGAAGGCGGGUUGCUGGGCCGACACUGACGCUGAGGCGCGAAAGCCAGGGGAGCAAACGGG